UGUGGGAGCUGGCCUGCCGGCGAUGCAGACAACUCGGUUUAUCAGCUAAACCGAGGGGAUGCUAUCGCUGGCAGGCCAGCUCCCACA
rnacentral:misc_RNA from 1 species